rnacentral:rRNA from 1 species
UACGUAGGGGGCUAGCGUUGUCCGGAUUUAUUGGGCGUAAAGAGCGUGUAGGCGGCCAGGUAGGUCUGCUGUGAAAACUCGAGGCUCAACCUCGAGACGUCGGCGGAAACCAUCUGGCUAGAGUCCGGAAGAGGAGAGUGGAAUUCCUGGUGUAGCGGUGAAAUGCGCAGAUAUCAGGAAGAACACCCGUGGCGAAGGCGGCUCUCUGGGACGGUACUGACGCUGAGACGCGAAAACGUGGGGAGCGAACAGG